UACGAAGGGGGCUAGCGUUGCUCGGAAUCACUGGGCGUAAAGCGCACGUAGGCGGCUUUUUAAGUCAGGGGUGAAAUCCUGGAGCUCAACUCCAGAACUGCCUUUGAUACUGAGAAGCUUGAGUCCGGGAGAGGUGAGUGGAACUGCGAGUGUAGAGGUGAAAUGCGCAGAUAUCGGGAAGAACACCCGUGGCGAAGGCGGCUCUCUGGGACGGUACUGACGCUGAGACGCGAAAGCGUGGGGAGCGAACAGG
rnacentral:rRNA from 1 species